UACGUAGGGGGCAAGCGUUGUCCGGAAUCAUUGGGCGUAAAGCGCGUGUAGGCGGUUCAGUAAGUCUGCUGUGAAAGUCCAGGGCUCAACCCUGGGAUGCCGGUGGAUACUGCUGGACUAGAGUGCGGAAGAGGCGAGUGGAAUUCCCGGUGUAGCGGUGAAAUGCGCAGAUAUCGGGAGGAACACCAAUUGCGAAGGCAGCUCGCUGGGACGUUACUGACGCUGGAGACGCGAAAGCGUGGGAGCAAACAGG
rnacentral:rRNA from 1 species